AACAACCAUUGACGGUGGAUCACUUGGUUCGAAGCACGAUGAAGAACGUGGCAAAAUGCGAUAAUUGAUGCGAUUCGCAAGCCUUGUGAGUCAUCAAGUUUUUGAAUGCAUAUGGCACCAUUGAUUAUGUCAGUGGUAUGUCUGUUUGAGGGUUGUUUUAUGUAAACAUCCGUUUG
rnacentral:rRNA from 1 species